UACGUAGGGACCAAGCGUUGUUCGGAUUUACUGGGCGUAAAGGGCGCGUAGGCGGCGUGACAAGUCACUUGUGAAAUCUCUGAGCUUAACUCAGAACGGCCAAGUGAAACUGUUGUGCUAGAGUGCAGAAGGGGCAAUCGGAAUUCUUGGUGUAGCGGUGAAAUGCGUAGAUAUCAAGAGGAACACCUGAGGUGAAGACGGGUUGCUGGGCUGACACUGACGCUGAGGCGCGAAAGCUAGGGGGAGCGAACGGG
rnacentral:rRNA from 1 species